rnacentral:rRNA from 1 species
GUGCUAAUCUGCGAUAAGCGCCGGUAAGGUGAUAUGAACCGUUAUAACCGGCGAUACCCGAAUGGGGAAACCCAGUGUGAUUCGUCACACUAUCAUUAACUGAAUCCAUAGGUUAAUGAGGCGAACCGGGGGAACUGAAACAUCUAAGUACCCCGAGGAAAAGAAAUCAACCGAGAUUCCCCCAGUAGCGGCGAGCGAACGGGGAGGAGCCCAGAGCCUGAAUCAGCAUGUGUGUUAGUGGAAGCGUCUGGAAAGGCGCGCGAUACAGGGUGACAGCCCCGUACACAAAAGCGCAUGUGCUGUGAGCUCGAUGAGUAGGGCGGGACACGUGGUAUCCUGUCUGAAUAUGGGGGGACCAUCCUCCAAGGCUAAAUACUCCUGACUGACCGAUAGUGAACCAGUACCGUGAGGGAAAGGCGAAAAGAACCCCGGCGAGGGGAGUGAAAAAGAACCUGAAACCGUGUACGUACAAGCAGUGGGAGCACCCUUUGGGUGUGACUGCGUACCUUUUGUAUAAUGGGUCAGCGACUUAUAUUCUGUAGCAAGGUUAACCGAAUAGGGGAGCCGGAGGGAAACC